AUACGGGGGGUGCAAGCGUUAUUCGGAAUUAUUGGGCGUAAAGGGCGCGUAGGCGGUCUUGUCGGUCAGAUGUGAAAGCCCAGGGCUCAACCCUGGACGUGCAUUUGAAACAGCAAGACUUAAGUACGGGAGAGGAAAGCGGAAUUCCUGGUGUAGAGGUGAAAUUCGUAGAUAUCAGGAGGAACACCGAUGGCGAAGGCAGCUUUCUGGACCGAUACUGACGCUGAGGCGCGAAGGCGUGGGGAGCAAACAGGAUUAGAUCCCUGGUAGUCC
rnacentral:rRNA from 1 species